UGCAACUAUGACAUCAUGUCACUUAUGCUAGGAAUUGAACUUAACGCGAUCGUUUAUAAGCGACCUUCACUACAUGUGAAUAUAAGUUUGUAACGAUUAUGUGAAACUUCCUUAUAUUCUAGCAACGGAUUUCUGCAUGCCAAUUAAGUGUCGACCCUUAAUCAACAAAUACAAAUAAGUUAUCAAUCAAAUAGUUAAGCCAAUUGCAUUUACGAUUCAAGAGUUCAUAAUUGGAAUUUAUCAAAUCAUAUUACACACAUAAUCAUGGCUUUGAAAUCACCCCUAGCCAAGAGGGGUUUAGCCACUCAUAUUCACAACAAAACAAAAGAAAAUGAAUUUAAACAUUGGAAACAAAAGAAAGAAAACACCUAAACGCUCCAACGAUCCAAGUUGGACAACAAGCACGUCCAAGCACUUUCCUUCCCUUCCUUUGCUACGGCACAAGGUGUUGGUAAGUGUUUGAAGGUUUGUUUGUAUGGAGGAGUGGAUGUGACGAUGAAUGGAUGUGUUUGGAUUCAUAUAUGUCUCCCUUUGAUGAAGGGUGGAUGAAUGUAUUUAUAGACUAGGAAGAGGAUGUAGUGGGUGGUGGUAAUGAGUGGAUGUAGUGGUAGGUGAAUGUGUUGGGUGAAAUGAGUGGAUGUAGUGGUAGGUGAAUGUGUUGGGUGGAUGUACUGGUAGGUGAAUGUGUUGGGUGGUAGAAAUGAGUGGAUGUGUUGGGUGAAAUGAGUGGAUGUAGUGGUAGGUGAAUGUGUUGGGUGGUAGGUGAAUGUAUUGGGUGAAAUGAGUGUGCUAAAAUGGUUAUUUAUAGGGAGAUGAUGAUGCACAAACUUCAAAUUUCAUCCAUUCCUUUUGCUCCAAGCAUAAGCUAUCCAUUCCAUGCCCAAAAAUGCUCCAAAAUGCUCCAAAAUGCACUUCUUUGCCACAUUAACCCUUUGGACCUGCAAACACACGAAAAUAGCUUAAAAUACAUAAUUAACUAAGAAAUAACAACAUAAAUGCAUGAGAACAAGCUAACUCAGUCGCAUAAAUAUGCUUCUAUCAAAUUCCCCCACACUUAGCUUUUGCUAGUCCUCGAGCAAAACAAAACAAACGAAACAAACAAAACACAACCUAGACCUUCCAACAUUUGCCUCAGGGAUUUUUAAUGAAACAUGACAUGUUAAAAAUCAUCAGUCCCACAGAUUUUGGUCAUCUUUACACUUGAGCACAUACUUAAUCACAGUCACCACUUACU
rnacentral:lncRNA from 1 species